rnacentral:tRNA from 1 species
CAAAGCAUGACACUGAAGAUGUCAAGAUGGACCCUAAAAAGUUCCACAAGUA